AUUUCUGGAAAAAAAUGUCUCAAAUGUGUCAAUUUUCCUAGUCUUAGAAGUAUGAUUCGUGAAAACUGAGUCUUCUUCCUUGUUUACAGAAUACAUGGCAACAAAUGUUUCCACGCCAGGAGGACUGCAGAGCAAGAAGUUGGACUACCCUUUCAUGUUUUGCUUAAACUUACUCACUUUGGGCUAAAGUGACUCUCCUGGAAUUUGAUGUCUUGUUGCUGAGCAGGGAUGAGGAGGAAGGGGACCAAGGGAGGCCAAAGGAAAGUUGACCACACAAAUGUAAUGUUGGAGGCAUUAGACUGCAUGGGGCUGUUCAGCCUCCACAAAGAACCAAACUUAUUCCCAUGGAAACCAAUGUUCGAAGAUGAAUAUGUAGCCUGGCUCUCAGCAGCUCCUUUUCCCUUUUCUCUUUUCUUCUCCCUUGGGAUGUUUUGUUGUUGUUUUUGGUAAAGAGAAAGAAAGAGGCUCUUCACCUCCAAGCAGCUUGAGAAAAGACUGGCAACAUUCAUUCCACUAAUAAGCUGGCAAUUAAUGCAAAGAGGAAUGUCCUGGAUUUCUCAAAGAGAAGUAUUUUUCAACAAGAGCUGGUCAAGAUGUUGACGAGAUUUUGCUUUUUUUUUCUCUUUCUUUUCUUUUUUUUUUUUUUUUUUUUUUCAAAUGGGACAUACACUUUCUGGAAAAGGGGGCUAAACUGGUGUUGUAAGUCUGCCCUCACGUGUCGGAUUUUAACUCUUCAGAAGAGAAAGUACAAGUGAGCUCAAUGGAAUCCACCAGACGUAUCGUGGCACCGCCCAGAUAAUGAUUUAUGGAUGUGCAGUGUGAGAAAUGUAUUUUCUACUGCAAUGGAUGGAAACCAGGGUCUCCGUUGCUACCCAGGGCCUGCAUUUCUAUCUGCACUGUGUCGUUCAUGUGUCCCUGGACCCCCAGUUCUGCUUGUGUGCCCGUGAAAAAUGGAAGUGAUUCCCCUGAUCUCAGCAGAUCACGCUGGGUUAAACCUCAUCCAUACAAAGCGUUCUGGUCUCCCUGUCACCUUGUUCAGAAAUGAGAUCCCUGCGUGUGAAUAACCCUUCAGCGUGUGCUUCAAAUCCAUCCCUUAUUUGAGAAAGCACUCAAAUACUUUCCUGAAUCAGGAAUAUAGAAAAUAUUCAUCUUUUUAACAGGACAACUUCAUGAUAAAAAAAAUCAGGUAUGUUAAAGGAAAAACGGAUCCUUACU
rnacentral:lncRNA from 1 species